AUGCCCCGCCGCAGUGCGUGGAAGCGGUGCGUCCACUCCGGCCACCACGACAGCGCCACCUGGGGCCACGCCGCGGCCGCCGACUUCGCGCCCAUGCCCAGGAUGUGUCGCCUCGGGGCCGGGUCGCGCCCUACCUCGUCUACCUCGACCACGCGCAUGCUCCUCGACAACCGCCUCGGCAAGCGCCGCUUCGACGGCGGCUACGUCCACAACAGCCUCCUCCGCUACGCUGGCUGGGUGCUCGACAGGGAGUGCGACCUGCUCCGGGACCUCCUCGACCGGUACGUACCCCGCGUACACGCUCACCUUCACGGGCCACUCCCUUAG
rnacentral:rRNA from 1 species